CGAAUUACGUCGAAUGCCAGAGGCUCGAGUCUCGUCAGUCUGUCGCUGGCCUCUGCGCGACGUGGUUCGCGUUCUUCUGGGUCCGUAUCGAUGGUUGGACGUCCGUGUUCUCCAAUCCUCACGUGCGCGAAUCCUUUCUAUUACCUAGUUGUCGGUCUGUGCUUGUUGAAUUUUGUCUAAGGUUUGCGAACGUGAUGGGUUACAAAAACAUUGGGGAAAAAGACUCCGGGUGGUAGUCGAAGGUCCAAGAUUUACAGACUCAACGAGUCGUCUUCUGGCUUCGUAAACUAAUCCGGACGCUUCUUUCGAAAGGUGCUCAACUUCUCAGUUACCAAAAUCUAAUUCAACUUCGCAGAUUGAGGAAAACAGCGAAACUGUUAACUUCAAUAGGGGAGAAAUACCGCGAGGGGGAUUGUGGAUGCGGGGAGAAACUGAUUGUUGGUCGAGAUUCCCUCGUCCCCGGUUUAAUAAACGGUAAUAAAGCUGACCGAAGGGACGGCCAACCCCGCGACACCUGAGAGGAGGUAUGUUGUCGCCCGUAUGCAAUGACUGUGGCCUCAGCCGUAGGACCGUGGCACCGAGCCCAUCUCUACAAAAUUCUAGCAUGCAUUGUCCUGGCUCUUAUUACUCUACAGUAUCUUCUCAGCGGUGUUCUGGACCGGCAUUCUAUCGAGACCAUAUUCACCAUAAACGGCACUAGGUAUGAGUACUUCUAUAA